rnacentral:rRNA from 1 species
CCUACGGGAGGCAGCAGUGGGGAAUAUUGCACAAUGGGGGAAACCCUGAUGCAGCCACGCCGCGUGAGUGAAGAAGUAUUUCGGUGUGUAAAGCUCUAUCAGCAGGGAAGCAGAUGCCGGUACCUGAAUAAGAAGCCCCGGCUCACUACGUGCCAGCAGCCGCGGUAAUACGUAGGGGGCAAGGGUUAUCCGGAUUUAGUGGGGGUAAAGGGAGCGCAGACGGCAGUGCAAGUCUGGAGGGAAACCCCGGGGCCCAACCCCGGAACUGCCCUGGAAACUGGGCGGCUAGAGUACUGGAGGGGCAGGCGGAAUGCCUAGUGUAGCGGUGAAAUGCGUAGAUAUUAGGAGGAACACCAGUGGCGAAGGCGGCCUGCUGGACAGUAACUGACGUUGAGGCUCGAAAGCGUGGGGAGCAAACAGGAUUAGAUACCCUGGUAGUC